UACGAAGGGGGCUAGCGUUGCUCGGAAUCACUGGGCGUAAAGCGCACGUAGGCGGACUCUUAAGUCGGGGGUGAAAUCCUGGAGCUCAACUCCAGAACUGCCUUCGAUACUGGGAGUCUCGAGUUCGGGAGAGGUGAGUGGAACUGCGAGUGUAGAGGUGAAAUUCGUAGAUAUUCGCAAGAACACCAGUGGCGAAGGCGGCUCACUGGCCCGAAACUGACGCUGAUG
rnacentral:rRNA from 1 species